GAUGAACGCUGGCGGCGUGCCUAAUACAUGCAAGUCGAGCGAACAGAUGAGGAGCUUGCUCCUCUGACGUUAGCGGCGGACGGGUGAGUAACACGUGGAUAACCUACCUAUAAGACUGGGAUAACUUCGGGAAACCGGAGCUAAUACCGGAUAAUAUAUUGAACCGCAUGGUUCAAUAGUGAAAGACGGUUUUGCUGGCACUUAUAGAUGGAUCCGCGCCGCAUUAGCUAGUUGGUAAGUAAACGGGUUACCAAGGCAACGAUGCGUAGCCGACCUGAGAGGGUGAUCGGCCACACUGGAACUGAGACACGGUCCAGACUCCUACGGGAGGCAGCAGUAGGGAAUCUUCCGCAAUGGGCGAAAGCCUGACGGAGCAACGCCGCGUGAGUGAUGAAGGUCUUCGGAUCGUAAAACUCUGUUAUUAGGGAAGAACAAAUGUGUAAGUAACUAUGCACGUCUUGACGGUACCUAAUCAGAAAGCCACGGCUAACUACGUG
rnacentral:rRNA from 1 species